rnacentral:rRNA from 1 species
UACGGAGGGAGCUAGCGUUGUUCGGAAUUACUGGGCGUAAAGCGCACGUAGGUGGCUUUGUAAGUUAGAGGUGAAAGCCCGGAGCUCAACUCCGGAAUUGCCUUUAAGACUGCAUCGCUUGAAUCCAGGAGAGGUGAGUGGAAUUCCGAGUGUAGAGGUGAAAUUCGUAGAUAUUCGGAAGAACACCAGUGGCGAAGGCGGCUCACUGGACUGGUAUUGACGCUGAGGUGCGAAAGCGUGGGGAGCAAACAGG